rnacentral:misc_RNA from 1 species
UUUAUGGAGCUGGAGAAUUUGAUCCGGCGAGACCCCGCCAAGGCUCCUGUGCCUGGUGGUGGGAUACAUCCCAUCACGCGGUACGUGAUGAAUUAUCUACGUGCUGCUUGUCGAUCCAGACAGACGCUGGAACAAGUUUUUGAGGAGAACGUUAAUCUCCUUCCAUCUAAGGAUUCGUCUUCCUCCUCCUCAUUGUCAGUUCAAAUGGCAUGGAUUAUGGAGCUAUUAGAGAGUAAUUUACAGAUGAAGUCGAAGAUUUACGGAGACUCUGCCUUAUGCUCUGUUUUCAUGAUGAAUAAUGGAAGGUACAUUGUCCAAAAAGUUAAUGAUAGUGAAUUGGGUUCUCUUCUGGGUGAUGAUUGGAUCAGGAAACACACUGCAAAAAUCAAGCAAUUUCAGAUGAGUUAUCAGCGAAGCUCAUGGAAUAAGGCUUUGGGAAUGUUGAAAGCAGAUAAUGGCUCUGCAGCUCCUAAUGUCGCAGGGAAGUCCUUGUCUAUGAAAGACAAGAUGAAGUUCUUUAAUUCCCACUUUGAGGAGAUUUUCAAAACUCAAUCCCACUGGAUCAUAUUUGAUGAGCAGCUAAGAAAGGACUUGAGGAUCUCUUUGGCCAACUUCUUGCUGCCAGCAUAUGGAAACUUUAUUAGAAGGCUCCAGAAUUCUCCAGAAGUUGGGAAGCAUGCUGACAAGCAUAUUAAGUAUACUGUGGAGGACAUAGAAGCCCAUAUUAAAGAUUUGUUCCAGGGAGAUGGUGGAUCAGCUGGAAGCAGAAAGUAAAGGUAAGCUGCUGCUUGUUCCAUUAACGUGUUUGAACUUUAGUAAAGUCUGAAUUUUCGUGUUUAAUGUAUAUAGUUAAGAUUAAUGUUUCUUUUAUUUCGCCUUUCCUCUUCUGUGAAUGAAAAUUACAGAUAGGUACCAUGAUCAAUCAGCUUGUUAUCCUACUUCUGAGAUGAAUUAUAUUUUU